UACGAAGGAUUCGAGCGUUAUCCGGAUUUAUUGGGUUUAAAGGGUGCGUAGGUGGUCAAUUAAGUCAGUGCUGAAGUAUCCCGGCUUAACCGGGAGGGUGGCAUUGAUACUGAUUGACUUGAGUAGAGUUGAGGUAGGCGGAAUUGACGGUGUAGCGGUGAAAUGCUUAGAUAUCGUCAAGAACACCGAUAGCGAAGGCAGCUUACUAAGCUCAAACUGACACUGAUGCACGAAAGUGUGGGGAUCAAACAGG
rnacentral:rRNA from 1 species